rnacentral:lncRNA from 1 species
GCAUGGCCAUAAAUAUUUAUCUAGUGCCUUAUGCCUGUACCAGAGAGGAUAGGGAAAGAGGAGUUACAAGGAAGCUUUUCUUCCACACCAGAUGACCAGUUUAACUGAAGAAAUAACUGGAUCCAUCUUCAGGACAUCAGCUCAAAAAGUGUGGUCCCCAGACCCAGCAGCUCCAGUGUCGCCUUGGAACUACUGCAUUAGGGUCGGUCCCUGCAAUGGGUGUCCAGAUGAUGCCAUGUCCAAAAUGUGAGAAUGAAGGCUCUGGGCCCUGCUCACAGAAUUUCUGACUUCGGAGGUCUCCAGUGGGGCCGCAGAACUUUCCCACCAAAUUCUUAAGAGAUUCUGAUGCUGCCGGGGCUGGGACCUCAGUGUGAGAAUAACUAACCUAGCCUAUGGGUAGGCCAGGGAACUUCUGUCAGCAGAAUUUGAUCAGAAGAGGUCUGACAACUUAGUCUUUAUCCACCUACUGCUCUGUGGUCUGUGUGCCAUCCUUAGCAAGAGACUGUCACUGUCCUUAGGUCAAGAUAAUGUGAUCCCUUAUAAAGUCCAGCCUAGAUCNNNNNUAGAGUGAUUGACAAUUAGAUUGAACAAUCCAAUUGAAAUCCAAUCUAAACAUAUCUUUUCAGUUGUACAUAGUUAA